AAAAACUUUACCGUAUGGACAGAAAAAUCAAGACAGAUCCAUCACCAGAUGGAUGCUCCAUCUCACAGCCUGGAAGUUUCACCUCUUCCACUUCUGACUGAAUGUAAAGGACAUCAAUGAUGGAGAUUUUCUUAGUCCUGCCUGAGAUAUUGCUGGUGUAUAGUUUGUUGAGGAGCAAGUCCAGUUGAUGUGUUUAUGAACAAUGAGUCAACGACCAACAAAGAAAUUCAAUGCAAGUGAAGCCCUGGCUGAAAUAAUGAAGGAGUUGUCGGAUUUCAAUACAUCAGACAACUCAAAUGAAGAGGACAAUGAUGAUGGAAGAGACACUGUGUUAAGUGAUGAGGAAACAAAAAUUGAUGAUGAAACAGCCCCGUGGAGAUGCAGCAAAUAUAGUUAAGAAACGACGCUGUCACAUGUGCCCAAGGGCAAAGGACAGAAAGGUAAAGGCCGCUUGCUCCCAGUGCAAACUUCCGGUUUGCCAGGAACAUUCAGAGCGUUUCCUUGUGUGUCUGGCCUGCAAACAAGUUGAAGUUGAGGCAGAUUCUGAGUGACUGUUCUGUAUGCGAA